UCAGGCCUAACACAUGCAAGUCGAGGGGUAACGACAGAGCUUGCUCUGGGCGACGACCGGCGCACGGGUGCGUAACACGUAUGCAACCUACCUAUCACUGGAGGAUAGCCAGGUGAAAACCUGAGUAAUACUCCAUAACACUUAACAAGGCAUCUUGAAGAGUUGAAAGUUCCGGCGGUGAUAGAUGGGCAUGCGGAUGAUUAGUUUGUUGGUGAGGUAACGGCUCACCAAGACUACGAUCAAUAGGGGGCCUGAGAGGGUUAUCCCCCACACUGGUACUGAGACACGGACCAGACUCCUACGGGAGGCAGCAGUGAGGAAUAUUGGACAAUGGGCGAAAGCCUGAUCCAGCCAUGCCGCGUGCAGGAAGAAUGCCCUACGGGUUGUAAACUGCUUUUGUUAGGGAAGAAACCCCCGGACGUGUCCGGGGCUGACGGUACCUUUCGAAUAAGCACCGGCUAACUCCGUGCCAGCAGCCGCGGUAAUACGGAGGGUGCAAGCGUUAUCCGGAUUCAUUGGGUUUAAAGGGUCCGCAGGCGGACCGAUAAGUCAGAGGUGAAAGCCCACAGCUCAACUGUGGAACUGCCUUUGAUACUGUCGGUCUUGAAUGCGCUCGACGUAGGCGGAAUGUGCCGUGUGGCGGUGAAAUGCUUAGAUAUGGCACAGAACACCGAUCGCGAAGGCAGCUUACGAGAGCGUG
rnacentral:rRNA from 1 species